CAGUAGCCGCGGGAAAACGAAGGGGGCUAGCGUUGCUCGGAAUUACUGGGCGUAAAGGGAGCGUAGGCGGAUCGUUAAGUUGGGGGUGAAAGCCCGGGGCUCAACCUCGGAACUGCCUUCAAUACUGGCGAUCUUGAGUAUGAGAGAGGUGUGUGGAACUCCGAGUGUAGAGGUGAAAUUCGUAGAUAUUCGGAAGAACACCAGUGGCGAAGGCGACACACUGGCUCAUUACUGACGCUGAGGCUCGAAAGCGUGGGGAGCAAACAGGAUUAGAUACCCCGGUAGUCCCUGUCUCUUAUAC
rnacentral:rRNA from 1 species